ACGUAGGAUGCGAGCGUUGUCCGGAUUUAUUGGGCGUAAAGAGUUCGUAGGCGGUUCGUUAAGUCUGAUGUUAAAGAUCGGGGCUCAACCCCGGGAGUGCAUUGGAUACUGGCGGACUGGAGUGCGGUAGAGGUUAGUGGAAUUCCCAGUGUAGCGGUGAAAUGCGUAGAUAUUGGGAAGAACACCAGUGGCGUAGGCGACUAACUGGGCCGUAACUGACGCUGAGGAACGAAAGCCAGGGGAGCGAAUGGG
rnacentral:rRNA from 1 species